CCUACGGGUGGCAGCAGUGGGGAAUAUUGGGCAAUGGAGGCAACUCUGACCCAGCAACGCCGCGUGAAUGAUGAAGGUCUUCGGAUUGUAAAGUUCUGUGAUGGGGGAUGAACACAAUGCCGGUACCCCAAUAGCAAGCCACGGCUAACUACGUGCCAGCGGCCCCGGUGAUACGUAGGUGGCAAGCGUUAUCCGGAAUGACUGGGCUUAAAGGGUGCGUAGGUGGUUUAGUACGUUGGCGGUGUACGUCCGGGGCUCAACCGCGGCGCUACCGCCAAAACUAGUAGACUAGAGUGCAGGGGCGGUAAGUGGAAUUCCUAGUGUAGCGGUGGAAUGCGUAGAUAUUA
rnacentral:rRNA from 1 species